AUGAAUAUCUUGGCCUGGAACUGUCGAGGACUGGGGUUGGACUCGACAGUGGGUGAACUCAAAGACCUGAUUAGGUCAUACAACCCAGCGGUGGUGUUCUUAAGCGAGACAAAGAAAAGAGCGAGGGCGAUGGAGAAGAUCAAAUGGAGUCUUGGGUUCAGAUAUGGGAUUGCAGUUGACUGUUGUGGCAAAAGUGGGGGUACUGCUUUUUGGUGGCGUGACAAUGUUCAAGUUACUGUUAGACCCUGGUGUCAGUACUUCAUUGAUGCAGCGGUGGUGUUUGAUGGUAAGCUGUUUAGGAUCACUGGAUUCUACGGUGAGCCGCGCACGGAGUUAAGAGAUAAAUCUUGGGAAGCUCUGCGAUAUCUGAGAAGGCAAGAUGAUCAGCCGUGGAUAUGUCUUGGGGAUUUCAAUGAAGCGCUUCUGCUGACCAAGCAACAUGGAGGUGACAUGAGAAGUUUCACGCAAAUGGAUAAGUUUAGGGACUGCCUUGCUGAUUGUGGCCUUGUUGAUCUUGGUUUCUUCGGGUAUCCUUUUACUUGGGACAACAAAAGGGACGGCCCGGCUAAUAUUCAGGUUUGA
rnacentral:rRNA from 1 species